CCUACGGGAGGCAGCAGUAGGGAAUCUUCCACAAUGGGCGAAAGCCUGAUGGAGCAACGCCGCGUGGGUGAAGAAGGUCUUCGGAUCGUAAAACCCUGUUGUUAGAGAAGAAAGUGCGUGAGAGUAACUGUUCACGUUUCGACGGUAUCUAACCAGAAAGCCACGGCUAACUACGUGCCAGCAGCCGCGGUAAUACGUAGGUGGCAAGCGUUAUCCGGAUUUAUUGGGCGUAAAGGGAACGCAGGCGGUCUGUUAAGUCUGAGGUGAAAGCCUGCGGCUUAACCGGAGUAGUGCAUUGGAAACUGGGAGACUAGAGUGCAGGAGAGGUGAGUGGAACGCCAUGUGUAGCGGUGAAAUGCGUAGAUAUAAGGAAGAACACCAGUGGCGAAAGCGGCUCUCUGGUCUGUAACUGACGCUGAGGUUCGAAAGCGUGGGUAGCAAACAGGAUUAGAUACCCCGGUAGUC
rnacentral:rRNA from 1 species